UUUGAUGGCGACCGGCGCACGGGUGAGUAACACGUAUCCAACCUGCCGAUGACUCGGGGAUAGCCUUUCGAAAGAAAGAUUAAUACCCGAUGGCAUAGUUCUUCCGCAUGGUGGAACUAUUAAAGAAUUUCGGUCAUCGAUGGGGAUGCGUUCCAUUAGGUUGUUGGCGGGGUAACGGCCCACCAAGCCUUCGAUGGAUAGGGGUUCUGAGAGGAAGGUCCCCCACCAUUGGAACUGAGACACGGUCCAAACUCCUACGGGAGGCAGCAUG
rnacentral:rRNA from 1 species